UGACAUUGACAGUGUCCUGAGGUUUCGUCAUGAGGGCUACCCAGUGAAUAAUCUGUGCAGUGUGAUACGGCUGGGUGUACAGGUUACUUCACAGCUGCCU